AUUGAACGCUGGCGGCAGGCCUAACACAUGCAAGUCGAACGAGUGGCGGACGGGUGAGUAAUGUCUGGGAAACUGCCUGAUGGAGGGGGAUCACUACUGGAAACGGUAGCUAAUACCGCAUACCAUCAGGUGUGCCCAGAUGGGAUUAGCUUGUUGGUGGGGUAACGGCUCACCAAGGCGACGACCCCUAGCUGGUCUGAGAGGAUUACCAGCCACACUGGAACUGAGACACGGUCCAGACUCCCAAGGGAGGCAGCAGUGGGGAAUAUUGCACCAUGGGCGCAAGCCUGAUGCAGCCAUGCCGCGGGUAUGAAGAAGGCCUUCGGGUUGUAAAGGACUUUCAGCGGGGAGGCGUUACCCGCAGGAGAAGCACCGGCUAACUCCGUGCCAGCAGCCGCGGUAAUUCC
rnacentral:rRNA from 1 species